UACGGGGGGGGCAAGCGUUGUUCGGAAUUACUGGGCGUAAAGGGCUCGUAGGCGGCCAACUAAGUCAGACGUGAAAUCCCUCGGCUUAACCGGGGAACUGCGUGUGAUACUGGCGGGCUUGAAUUCGGGAGAGGGAUGCGGAAUUCCAGGUGUAGCGGUGAAAUGCGUAGAUAUCUGGAGGAACACCGGUGGCGAAGGCGGCAUCCUGGACCAAUUCUGACGCUGAGGAGCGAAAGCCAGGGGAGCAAACGGG
rnacentral:rRNA from 1 species